rnacentral:lncRNA from 10 species
GUGGAAAGCCUGCGUCCACUCCUGCCAGGUUCAGAAAAGGCCCAGCCCUGCCAGCCAAGAGUGCCUCUGUACCCCCACCCUUGCCCCACACUCCCCUGCUAUGACUCACACCAGGCCUUUCCCGGUGCCCUCCCCACGGUGGCCUCUAAAGCAGGAGACAGGGGCCCACGGUGAACUCUGGGGCUACAGAGGGCUUCCCCCCAGUGCAGCAGCUGGCACCACCCAGGAUUCCAGAGAGAACCAGACAGCAUGACCACGUUGGAGCCACAGGCUUUGCAACCGGAUCUCAGGAGCCACAUCGCAUCUUCUCUGCUCCUUCCAUCCCUAGAAUCCAGUCCUGAGUCACGCAGUCCAGCCCACAUCAGGGACAGGGGACUGCGCUGGCUAUGAGCACUGGGGGCCACCCCUAAGGUACCCACUGUGGCGGCAGCAGCGCCCUACUACGCAGAGUGGCCUUGAGAAAUGAGAAUCUGCGGCUCAGUGCCCAGCCUCCCAGCGCUCGCGGCUCAGCGAGUGUGAGAACCAGCUCCUCCUGUGUGUGCCUCCUCCUGCUGAAUCACAGCUUAAUUCCUCAAUGUCGAUGCCUCCCAUAUCCCAGGCUCUCUCUCUGGUGUUGAGGGACACUCAGAUGAAUGAGAUGUGGCCCCUGACCUGGAGAAUCCCACAAUUAAAGUGGGGCGUGGCAGGUGCUUUGAUGUGGGGGAGGCAAAGGGGAGGCGUCCCGCAGCAGGGAGCAGCAUCGCAUGUGCCCGGGGGCCCCCAGGUGGGCAUCCUCCUGUCAGAGCCCCUCCGGUGAGCCCAGACGCAAUGGGAUGAUUAACCCGUGUUCAGCACUACCGAGCCGUGAAUCUCGAUGAGCCGGUGUGUGCUGCCUGUAAGUGAGCCUUAUGUAACAGGGAUGCUGGAGCAGCUGGCGCCCGCACACAGCCCUUCUUUUAAAAUAGAUUGCUUGUCUUUAUAUAGCCCAAUGAUUCUUUCUUCUGGCUCUGCCGUCUUACAGAGGCGCUGAUGUAGGUCAAAUAUUGCUCGGUGAGAAUUAAUUAAUCUAUAAUUGUAUUGAAGGAAGGGGAGAAAAACAAGUAGAUGCUCAGUGCGCUAUACGGGUCGGGGAAUAAGCUUUGCAGAGGAAGUUUUAGGAGAGCCGCGGCCACUGCUCUCUCAGACUUGCUGGCCCUCGCCCUGCCCACCGCCCGCCCAGGGCCCCCAGAGAGUACGGGGCUUGGAGUUAGCUCUGAGCUCCAGAGGCUCCGCAGUCCCCAGCCCCAGCAGGAGCAUCACUUGGCCUGCUCUGGACCACCCGUGACAGGAGGCCUGGGCUCCCCUGUCACCGCCCGGGUCCUGCUCCUCACCGAGCUGUCCCCUCCCGUCUGCCCUGCCCCUCCUCCCUCUCACCCCUGAACCCACCUG